rnacentral:rRNA from 1 species
GGGCCGUGUCUCAGUCCCAGUGUGGCUGGUCGUCCUCUCAGACCAGCUACAGAUCGUCGGCUUGGUAAGCUUUUAUCCCACCAACUACCUAAUCUGCCAUCGGCCGCUCCGUUCGCGCAAGGCCUUGCGGUCCCCUGCUUUCAUCCGUAGAUCGUAUGCGGUAUUAGCAAAGCUUUCGCUUCGUUAUCCCCCACGAUCGGGCACGUUCCGAUGUAUUACUCACCCGUUCGCCACUCGUCAGCAUCCAAAGACCUGUUACCGUUCGACUUGCAUGUGUAAGGCAUGCCGCCAGCGUUCAAUCUGAGCCAGGAUCAAAC